rnacentral:lncRNA from 1 species
CCAGAGUAUAAAAAAAAAAAAAAAAAAGUAACAUUUCAUUAUUUUUGUACGUGUUUGGCUGUUUUGCUUGUGUGUCUAUCACUGCACACUACAUGUGUGCCUGGUGCUGGCAAAACUCAGGUGUUGGAGUCCCCGAAUCGGGAGUUAGAGUUACAGACGCUCAUUGGACGCUGGGAAUCAAACCCUGAUCCUCUAGAAAACCAGCCAGGACUCCUAACUAGCCACCCACCUCCCCGUAUUUUUUAAAUAAAGGAUGUUGAGUUCAGGAAGGUUGACAGACUUGUUUGCAUGAAGCUGGAUCGAGGUCUUGCCAGCACACAUUACAGUCUUUGAAAGGUGUGUCAUGGAAGGCCGCUCUGAGGUGACACUGAGCAGAAACUGAGCUGGUUAGAGGCACCACCACACUGAGGUCUGGGAGGAGAUCUCGACAGAUGAAGAGCAAGUCAUCAGAAGUCCAGGGAGCGAGCAGGAUGAGCAAGCUAUGAGGAGCAUGCCAGUAAGCAGUACUCUUCCAUGGCCUCUGCAUCAGCCUCCAGGUUCUUCCAUGGCCUCUGCAUCAGCCUCCAGGUUCUGGCCCUGCUUGAGUCCUGCC